UCUCUUCUUUCUCUCUAGCGAGCUCUUCAACCGUCAUCCUGGCGAACCUUAUCCUCUCAUCCUAAAGAGAAAACACACAGAGGCAUGACCUGAAAGAAAUAAAAGAGGAUAACGAUCAUAAGCGAGGAAGCGUCGAUCGGGGAAGGGGACACGGGGAGGAGGAGCGUCAGUAUUACAACACGCGUGUUCGUAACAUCAAGACAGAAAACCCAGCAGGGUGGUAUCGCCAAAUCAAAGUUCUUACCCACCGAGAUGAUGCACCAUCACCCAUUGCGAUUCCUGGUAUUGGCGCCAAUGACUCUUCACUCCACCAAUAAGCAGCUGCUACUAUCAACAAGCAUCUCAUUUCCAUAGCAGCUGAUCUCCCUCCUCUUGACAGAGGUUCCCUUCCUGCGUACUUACCAUCUCCAAGUCAAUGCCCCCUCGUCCAACCAUGGGAAGUAUUUCGAAAUCUUAAACACUUAAAUUCUUCCAAAGCAGGGAUCAAGGAUGACAUACCUGUUAGAGUUGUAAAGGAAUUUGCUCUUGAAUUGUCUGUGCCCCUUACUGAUAUCUUGAACACUUCUUUCCAACUUGGGGUUGUACCACAUCAAUGGAAGCUCUCCUAGAUCACCCCGAUACCUAAGGCGCUGCCCGCGUCUAUCGACAAAAUUCGACCAAUCGCUCUCACAAGUAACUUUGCCAAAAUAGCUGAAUGUUUUGUGGCAAAAUGGCCUUUGCAAGACAU